GUGGAUGAAGUUAACCUGUGUUCUGUCGUUAUUCGUAAAAUAAUAAUUAUGAGUUUUUAUAAUAUGAACAGAACAUAGAAACCCGAUUUGUAGGUGGCGCAGUACAAAUCUCUUGCAGUCUUUCAUGCAUCGUCGGAAUACAAUGAAUUAGUCGAAUCAGAAUAUAAAUCAUUAAAAAACGAUAAACAACGUUUGAUGUGUUGCGAAAAAAACAUGAAAGUCAUACAAAAUAUAAAUGAUAUAAUCAGAACGAUAUUAGAACGUACAGUUGUGGACAUCAUAAUAUUAUUCAAGAAAUAAUGGAUGUAAAAUGUUAAGCGAAGAACGAAGAACGUGGAACAAUGCGCUGUACAAAUACAGCAACACAUACAAACAAAACCAGCCGUUUAGGAUGGCACACUACAUUAUUAUUAUUAUUAUUAUUAUCAUUCAUCAACGUGAAUGCAAACGGACGACAAACAUCAACGAAAGAGCCGAGGAAACGAAUUGAAUGAUAAUUGAUAGUAAUAAUAAUAAUGACAAUAAUAAUAAUCAUCGUUUUAAAAUUGACUAGUAAUUUGUGAGUGAUUGUAAUAUGGACUGUUUGGUAUUAUUAUGUUGGUUAUUGUGUAGAGUUGACAACUGCACAAGUACGUAUACUAUACACAUUUCAUGAUAUUUUUUUUACCAAGCAGUGAGAAAUUUCGAGAGCUUACGGCGUUUACCAAGUGAUUAA